rnacentral:rRNA from 1 species
GACGAACGCUGGCGGCGUGCCUAAUACAUGCAAGUCGAGCGCAGGAAAUCGACGGAACCCUUCGGGGGGAAGUCGACGGAAUGAGCGGCGGACGGGUGAGUAACACGUAAAGAACCUGCCCUCAGGUCUGGGAUAACCACGAGAAAUCGGGGCUAAUACCGGAUGGGUCAUCGGACCGCAUGGUCCGAGGAUGAAAGGCGCUUCGGCGUCGCCUGAGGAUGGCUUUGCGGUGCAUUAGCUAGUUGGUGGGGUAAUGGCCCACCAAGGCGACGAUGCAUAGCCGACCUGAGAGGGUGAUCGGCCACACUGGGACUGAGACACGGCCCAGACUCCUACGGGAGGCGGCAGUAGGGAAUCUUCCACAAUGGACGAAAGUCUGAUGGAGCAACGCCGCGUGAACGAUGAAGGCCUUCGGGUCGUAAAGUUCUGUUGUAAGGGAAGUACAAGUGCCGCAGGCAAUGGCGGCACCUUGACGGUACCUUGCGAGAAAGCCACGGCUAACUACGUGCCAGCAGCCGCCGUAA